UAAUAACCUCUCUCAACCUUGCGUGGCGGCGUGCCCUAAAUCCUAAUUACUAAACUCUCUCUUUAUCGUCAUUUUAUUCGUUCGAUCUUCCGCCACUCUUCUUCCUUUGCGGAAGGGAAGCAAAAAAACCCUAAUUCAUGUCAAGUUCCUACGGCUCCGGUGGACCUGAUGACACUGCGCAGCCUCCUCGCGGCGGCAGUUACGGACGAGGCCGUGGAGGCGGCGGCGGGUACGGUGGAAACCAGGGGAAUCGAGGUGGAAGCGGCGGCUACGGUGGCGGUGGCGGUGGCUAUCAAGGCGGAGAUCGUGGAAACCGGGGAGGUGGCGGUGGACCCCGAGGUGGAGGUCGUGGUGGCGGAGUUGGUCGGGAGGGAGAUUGGCGAUGCCCCAACUCCAGUUGCGGAAAUAUGAACUUCGCAAGAAGAGUGGAGUGCAACAAGUGUGGAGCUCCGUGUCCCGGUGGUGGGCGUGGUGGUGGUUCUGGUGACAGCAACAGAGGAGGUGAUGGUGGCGGUGGUUUCAAUAGAGGUGGUGGUGGUGAUUAUAAUGAUGGUCAAGGUGGUGCCCGUGGUAGUUAUAACAACCGGGGCGGUGGAUAUUCUGGGAACCGUGGCGGUAGAAGUGAUUAUGAAGGAAGAGGUGGAGAUUUUGGGGGAAGAGGUGCUUCUUAUAAUGAUAAUAAUCGAGAGCGAGAGGAUGACAGAUAUGGUCAAGUUGCACCGCCUCCCUCAGCUGGUUAUGGCGGUCCUGGUGGUGCUGCCGGGAAUUAUACUCCUCCCAAUUGUUACGGUGCAAAUAGUGCCUAUGCUGGUGAUUCUGUUACACCUCCUAGUAAUUAUGGUGGCCCUAAUUCUUACCCUCCUCCAUACGGUGUACCCCCUCCAAAUGCAUAUGCUAAUGAAGGUUCUUUGGCUCGUGGUGGUCCACCAUCUAGCUAUGGCGGUCCACCAUCCAGACAUGGUGGUGGAUAUGGUGAUCGUGGGAACCCUGGCCGUGGUGGUGGUGCUCCACCUCGCCACGAGGGUGGUGCAUAUGGUGCUGCUCCUACUGAUGCUGGUGCUCAGAUCAAACAAUGUGAUGAAAGCUGUGGAGAAUCUUGUGAUAACUCGAGGAUCUACAUCUCAAACUUGCCUCCUGAUGUGACUACAGAUGAGCUACGUGACCUUUUCGGAGGAAUCGGUCAGGUUGGCAAGCUCAAGCAAAAGCGAGGCUACAAAGACCAGUGGCCUUGGAAUAUAAAGAUAUAUACAGAUGAAUCUGGGAAUAACAAAGGAGAUGCUGUGCUCUCAUAUGAAGAUCCUGCUGCUGCUCAUUCUGCCGGAGGCUUCUAUAAUAACUACGACAUGAGAGGGUACAAGAUUAAUGUUGCGAUGGCAGAGAAGACUGCACUCAAAGCAGCCCCUUCAUAUGGUGGUGGCAGAGGGGGUUAUGGUGGAGGAGAUCGACGUAGAGAUAAUUAUAAUGGUGGUGGUGGACCUGAGAGGCACCAGUACGGCGGCCAGCGAUCUCGACCGUAUUAGGCUGAGUUAUGUGUUCUGAGAAUCUCUACUGAGUUCUCUUUCUAGUGAUAGUCACUUUGUACUCAAAAUUGGAGCAUAAGAUGCAUGUGGAAUUAAUCUCCAAACUGCUGCUAGAUUUGAAAAUUACAGAAUUUAAACAAAUCCUCAACCUUGAACACUUCAGAAGUGAACUCCAUGCUCACGGAGCCGCGAUGGCCUGAAACAGAAUCUGUCAUUUUCAACGCUGCCCAGCUGAUGCCUUCGGCGUUUAACGGUUCCAAGUCGAGCAAGAGCGAACGAUACCAUGUGGAAGAACUGUCACUGGAGUGAUUAGUACUCCUCACCUCGUCAGCAGCUUCUUUUGCAGCAUCACCAUCAUCUGAAACACUAUUAUUAUUAUUAUUAUUAUUAUUCUUUCUGCACAUCUUUUGUGGCUUUGCAGCCUCUGUGAUUCGUAUGAAUGCAUCUAUAGUAGCUCCUGCAAAGUUCUUACUAGCUAGAUUUAGUAUUCAUCUAUGAAAUAUAGAUGUGAAGUUUAAAGAAGAUCAUGGGAAUCAAGAAGCUUGACCUUGGAUGUUCGGUUCCAUAAAUUUCCCUUUGGCCGUAUUUGCGCCAGCUAUAACCAUCUUCUAUCUUGGGGGAGACUAUGGUUCUACAUGGGUAGGGAUAAGUCCUGCAACAUGAAAUCAUACUUUUUGUAAUCACGGUUAUCGAAAUGCUCGUAGUUGUUUUA